GACGAACGCUGGCGGCGUGCUUAACACAUGCAAGUCGAACGGACGAGUGAGAUAAGUUUACUUAACUCACAAGUUAGUGGCGGACGGGUGAGUAACACGUGGAUAAUCUACCUGCAACACCGGGAUAACGCUGUGAAAACGGUGCUAAUACCGGAUACGUUCCCUUGUGCGCAUGUAUGAGGGAAGAAAGCUCAGGCGGUUGCAGAUGAGUCCGCGGCUGAUUAGCUAGUUGGUGAGGUAAAGGCUCACCAAGGCGAUGAUCAGUAGCCGGCCUGAGAGGGUGAACGGCCACACUGGGACUGAGACACGGCCCAGACUCCUACGGGAGGCAGCAGUGGGGAAUCUUCCGCAAUGGGCGCAAGCCUGACGGAGCAACGCCGCGUGGGUGAAGAAGGCCUUCGGUUGUAAGCCUGUCUUAUGGAAGAAGUCAGUGACGGUACCAUAGGAGGAAGCACGGCUAACUACGUGCCAGCAGCCGCGGUAAUAGUACUA
rnacentral:rRNA from 1 species